rnacentral:rRNA from 1 species
GAUGAACGCUGGCGGCGUGCUUAACACAUGCAAGUCGAACGAGAAGUGGAGACGGAAACCUUCGGGCGGAAGACUUUACUUCGAGUGGCGGACGGGUGAGUAACGCGUGGGUACCCUGCCUCAUACAGGGGGAUAACAGUUGGAAACGACUGUUAAUACCGCAUAAGACCACAGCACCGCAUGGUGCGGGGGUAAAAACUCCGGUGGUAUGAGAUGGACCCGCGUUCGAUUAGCCAGUUGGCGGGGUAACGGCCCACCAAAGCGACGAUCGAUAGCCGAUCUGAGAGGAUGACCGGCCACAUUGGGACUGAGACACGGCCCAAACUCCUACGGGAGGCAGCAGUGGGGAAUAUUGCACAAUGGGGGAAACCCUGAUGCAGCGACGCCGCGUGAGUGAAGAAGUAUUUCGGUAUGUAAAGCUCUAUCAGCAGGGAAGAAAAUGACAGUACCUGAGUAAGAAGCCCCGGCUAACUACGUG